rnacentral:lncRNA from 1 species
GAAGGAGGAGGGUGAGGACACCCCAUCGCGUUUGAGCAAGCCUGCCUUUCCAUGGAUGACUCUUGGCAACAGCGCCCAUGCCUCCCAGAGUGGAUGUCUGGACUGGUGUGUUUCUUGGAGCACGAGGGCUGUGUAUU